AAGCCGCUGGGAUCUACUUCUGCGCUGUGGCAGCUUUGUUCUUUCACUCUUUGGGUCCCCACUGCUUUUAUGAGCUGUAAUACUCACCGUGAAGGUCUGCAGCUUUACUCUUGAAGCCAGAGAGACCACAGCCCACUGGGAGGAACAAACAACUGUAGACACGCCGCCUUAAGAACCGUAACACACACAGCGAAGGUCUGAAGGUCUGCAGCUUUAGUCCUGAGCCAGCCAAACCACGAACCCACCAGAAGGAAGAAACUCCGAACAUAUCCGAACAUCAGAGGGACCAAACUCCAGACGCGCCACCUUAAGAGCUGUAACACUCACUGCGAGGGGCUGUGGUUUCAUUCUUGAAGUCAGCAAGACCAAGAACCCACCAAUUCCGGACACAGUAUCUUAUCAAUUACUGUGCCCAGCGCACUAACGGACAUUAAGUAACGAAUAAUCAACAACCUGAAGCUUGUUGCUAUCAUAAUUUCACUGAAGGGAAAAAUUGGGGCUGAUAGAAGUUAAGUCACCUGUUCAAGGGUAGAGCUAAUCAGCGGCAUGUUCAAAUAUAGGGUUGUUUCUGUAAUUUUGUAGUAGUCUAUUUGCCCAGAAAGGCAAAGGAAUAUUAAUUUUAGAAAAGGCUGCACCGAAUUCUGCCACCUGUGCAGGUAGCCUCCCUCUGGACUCCAGAUGCCACUGUGAUUACCCCAUUCUGACCCACUCUUGGAGCUUCCUGUCAUCAGCCAUCCAUUCUCUUCUCUGUCUUGGUUCACUCCUGAAGGCUUCCUGUGUUAUCCUAAUGUGCGCCCUAAUGUACACAAAUCACUUUCACAGACAGUGUCAUGAGUAUGAGGUCUGGAGGCUAGAAGUCUGAAAUCAAGAAGUCUGCAUGCCCGUGCUCCCUCCACAGGCUCUAGGGGAGGAUCCUUCCUUGCUUCUUCCAGCAUCUGGUGGCUCCAGGUUGAAGACCUGAAAACUGUGACCCCUGUUGCCUAGCAACUGAGAAGCUCAGCCUCAACCCCGGGUGGGGGAGAUGAUGGAGAAAGGACAAUUGCUCUGAGCUUUCAGUCAUCAUGUGAGAAGUUUGGCUACCCUGAGGCCAGCACAUGCAGAGACCACACGGAGAGAUGAGAGGCAGAGAGAGCUGCCCAAGGAACUCCAGCUGUUCCAGCACCCAGCUGUUUGAAUCCUCCCAGCCCAGGCACUAAACGUGAAUGAAAAGCUCUCAAGACAACCUCAGCCCUCGGACCCAGCCACAGACUGAUUGCCACUGUAUGAGAGACCUCAGAUGAAAACUGCCAAGUGGAGCCCGGCUAGCUAACAGAUUUAUAAGCAAAAUAAGUGAUUGUUAUUGUUUCAAGCCACCAUUUUGAAGUGGCUUUUCUGCAGCAAUAGAUGCCUGGAGGAGUCCUAAUAAUAAAAAUUAAUCAGAUGGAGGAUCUGCUUUUUUAUUUUCACUUAGGACUAAGGAAAGGCUUGGUAUAAUCUUUGAACUGAGAUAAAGAAUAAGUUACUCUUAAAAUUUUCCAACAAAUGGAGUCCUUAUUGUCUGUAGUUAGUACCCAAAGCUUAGACACUUUCUCUGUACAUACCCUUCCAAGGAUAAGGCUGUAUUUUGUAAUGCCAGAUGACACAAUCUGAUAAACAAGCAGACACCCAUUAAACUGAAUGAAUGUC